UGGGGAAUCUUAGACAAUGGGGGAAACCCUGAUCUAGCCAUGCCGCGUGAGUGACGAAGGCCCUAGGGUCGUAAAGCUCUUUCGCCAGGGAAGAUAAUGACGGUACCCUUCGAGGAAGCCCCGGCUAACUACGUGCCAGCAGCCGCGGUAAUACGUAGGGGGCGAGCGUUGUCCGGAAUUAUUGGGCGUAAAGAGCGUGUAGGCGGCCCGGUAAGUCUGCCGUGAAAACCUGGGGCUCAACCCCGGGCGUGCGGUGGAUACUGCUGGGCUAGAGGAUGGUAGAGGCGAGUGGAAUUCCCGGUGUAGCGGUGAAAUGCGCAGAGAUCGGGAGGAACACCAGUAGCGAAGGCGGCUCGCUGGGCCAUUCCUGACGCUGAGACGCGAAAGCUAGGGGAGCGAACAGGAUUAGAUACCCCGGUAGUCC
rnacentral:rRNA from 1 species